rnacentral:rRNA from 1 species
GACGAACGCUGGCGGCGUGCUUAACACAUGCAAGUCGAGCGGUAAGGCCCUUUCGGGGGUACACGAGCGGCGAACGGGUGAGUAACACGUGGGUGACCUGCCCUCAGCUCUGGGAUAAGCCUGGGAAACCGGGUCUAAUACCGGAUAUGACUCCAUGACGCAUGUUGUGGGGUGGAAAGCCUUGUGCGGCUGAGGAUGGGCCCGCGGCCUAUCAGCUUGUUGGUGGGGUGAUGGCCUACCAAGGCGACGACGGGUAGCCGGCCUGAGAGGGCGACCGGCCACACUGGGACUGAGACACGGCCCAGACUCCUACGGGAGGCAGCAGUGGGGAAUCUUGCGCAAUGGGCGAAAGCCUGACGCAGCGACGCCGCGUGAGGGAUGACGGCCUGGUGUAACGUCUU